GUCUACUGAGGCGGGUCCCACCGGGCUUUUCCCAUCAGAGCCCGAACUCGCGGUUCAGGUUCCCUUUAGGACGCCCCUGGCCGAGAGGAGGGCUCCAACGGCUGGCUGCAGGGCUUAGAAUUUUAUUUUUGGUUUACAGCGCAGAAGAAGAGCAGUGAGGACAGGGCGCGGGUGGGGGGUGCAAGGCGGCGGCUCCAAGAAAAGUCAGCCCCUCGCGGACCGACAGAGUCUCCGCACCCCGCGGGUCGGUGGAGCCUCAGUGACGAGCGCAGCCCCGUGCUCGGGAAACACCGCCGCCGGGCAGGGGAGGGCCGGAAGGAACGCGAGCGCGUGGCCGCGGCUUCCGGCCGGGACACUAGCGCGGACCCUACGACCGGGGCGGGACUUCCGGCAAGGCGCGGAAGCGGCGGUAGUGGCAAGUGGAGAAGUUGCGUGGCUGACGGAUGCAGGCGGUGCGGCACGUCGUGUGUGCCCUGUCCGGCGGCGUGGACAGCGCCGUGGCCGCGCUGCUGCUGAGGCGAAGAGGUUACCAGGUGACAGGGGUGUUUAUGAAGAACUGGGACUCACUGGAUGAACAUGGAGUGUGUACUGCCGACAAAGACUGUGAAGAUGCUUACAGAGUUUGCCAGAUCUUAGACAUCCCUUUCCAUCAAGUGUCCUACAUAAAGGAGUAUUGGAACGACGUGUUCAGUGAUUUUUUGAAUGAGUAUGAAAAAGGAAGGACUCCCAAUCCUGACAUAGUUUGCAACAAGCACAUCAAAUUCAGUUGCUUUUUUCAUUACGCUGUGGAUAAUCUUGGGGCAGACGCCAUUGCCACAGGCCACUACGCAAGAACUUCACUGGAAGAUGAAGAAGUCUUUCAGCAGAAGCACAUUAAGAGGCCAGAAGGGCUUUUCCGAAAUCGGUUUGAAGUUAGAAAUGCGGUAAAACUCCUCCAGGCAGCUGACAGCUUUAAAGACCAGACCUUCUUUCUCAGCCAGGUUUCCCAGGAUGCCCUGAGGAGAACCAUCUUCCCUCUGGGGGGAUUAACAAAACAGUUUGUAAAGAAAAUCGCUGCUGAGAACAGACUUCAUCAUGUGCUUCAGAAGAAAGAGAGCAUGGGCAUGUGUUUCGUCGGGAAGAGGAAUUUUGAACAUUUCCUUCUUCAGUAUUUGCAGCCUCGACCUGGUCACUUUAUUUCCAUAGAAGACAAUAAGGUUCUGGGAACACAUAAAGGUUGGUUCCUCUAUACCUUGGGCCAGAGAGCAAACAUCGGUGGCCUGAGAGAGCCCUGGUACGUGGUAGAGAAGGAUGGCGUCAAGGGCAAUGUGUUUGUGGCCCCCCGGAAAGACCACCCAGCCCUGUACAGGGACCUGCUGAGGACCAGCCGUGUGCACUGGAUCACUGAGGAGCCGCCUGCAGGGCUGGUCCGGGACAAGAUGAUGGAGUGCCACUUCCGAUUCCGCCACCAGAUGGCACUAGUGCCCUGCGUGCUGACCCUCAAUCAAGAUGGCACCGUGUGGGUGACAGCUGUGCAGGCUGUGCGUGCCCUUGCCACAGGACAGGUGAGUGGGGGUGUGGGGGGUGAGCCCAGCUCUCAUUGUGCUCCAGGAGGACUGCACUGCUCUUCACCCUACCAGGGCACCUGGGUUACAGAGGAGGGGGCUGAGGCCCAGAAGUAGGGUGUGCUCGGGUCACACAGCUGGUGACGGCAGAGUGCGACCAGACGUGCCCUGGGGGCUCCUCCCGCAGUGACAACUGUGAGAGGAUUUCCACUGAUGUCACCAACCAGCCAGUUCCUGCUCGGGCCCUGAGAGGCUCGGCUGCUGCCCGGGCCCUAGAAGCAAGGACAGAAAAUGGAAGGGGCAUGAGGACUGCGCUCAAAGAGGCAGCGGGUUGGGGCCCCUGUGGGUUGAGUGUAUAGGAGCUCUGAUGGGCGCCUGGCAUAUGCAGGCCUGAGGGUUGGGGCCCCUGUGGGCUGAGUGUGUAGGGGUUUUGAGGAUGGGCGCCUGGCGUAUGCAGGCCUGAGGGUUGGGGCCCCUGUGGGCUGAGUGUGUAGGGGUUCUGAGGAUGGGCGCCUGGCGUAUGCAGGCCUGAGGGUUGGGGCCCCUGUGGGCUGAGUGUGUAGGGGUUCUGAGGAUGGGCGCCUGGCGUAUGCAGGCCUGAGGGCUCUCCAGGGGCAGGUAGCGGGAGAGAACCUGGGGUGAGGGAGCGGAAGCAUCCUCUGGCUGCCACCAUGCUCCCUCUUGUCACAGCUCCACAUUCCCAAGGGCUUCAGAGACCUGCCAGUUCCUGGAGUGGCCCCUGUGACUGUCCCACUCGGGAGAGUUUGCUGUGUUCUACAAAGGGGACGAGUGCCUGGGCAGCGGGAAGAUCGUGCGGCUGGGGCCGUCCGCCUACACACUCCGGAAGAGCCAGCACAGAGGUGGGGUGGCCAUCGAGAACCCCAGUGA